GCCCCAUUAGCUCAGGGGAUAGAGCACCGCCCUCCGGAGGCGGGAGCGCAGGUUCGAAUCCUGCAUGGGGCACCA
rnacentral:tRNA from 1 species